AUUGAACGCUGGCGGCAGGCCUAACACAUGCAAGUCGAGCGGAUGAAGGGAGCUUGCUCCUGGAUUCAGCGGCGGACGGGUGAGUAAUGCCUAGGAAUCUGCCUGGUAGUGGGGGAUAACGUCCGGAAACGGGCGCUAAUACCGCAUACGUCCUGAGGGAGAAAGUGGGGGAUCUUCGGACCUCACGCUAUCAGAUGAGCCUAGGUCGGAUUAGCUAGUUGGUGGGGUAAAGGCCUACCAAGGCGACGAUCCGUAACUGGUCUGAGAGGAUGAUCAGUCACACUGGAACUGAGACACGGUCCAGACUCCUACGGGAGGCAGCAGUGGGGAAUAUUGGACAAUGGGCGAAAGCCUGAUCCAGCCAUGCCGCGUGUGUGAAGAAGGUCUUCGGAUUGUAAAGCACUUUAAGUUGGGAGGAAGGGCAGUAAGUUAAUACCCUGCUGUUUUGACGGUACCAACAGAAUAAGCACCGGCUAACUUCGUG
rnacentral:rRNA from 1 species